rnacentral:rRNA from 1 species
GACGAACGCUGGCGGCGUGCCUAAUACAUGCAAGUCGAACGAAGCUGUUUUAACUGGUGCUUGCACCGACUUAAACAACUGAGUGGCGAACGGGUGAGUAACACGUGGGUAACCUGCCCCAAAGCGGGGGAUAACAUUUGGAAACAGAUGCUAAUACCGCAUAACCACAGAAACCACAUGGUUUCUGUGUCAAAGAUGUUUUCGGCUAUCACUUUGGGAGGGACCCGCGGCGUAUUAGCUAGUUGGUAAGGUAAUGGCUUACCAAGCCAAUGAAACGUAGCCGAACUGAGAGGUUGAUCGGCCACAUUGGGACUGAGACACGGCCCAAACUCCUACGGGAGGCAGCAGUAGGGAAUCUUCCACAAUGGACGAAAGUCUGAUGGAGCAACGCCGCGUGAGUGAAGAAGGUUUUCGGAUCGUAAAACUCUGUUGUCAGAGAAGAACGUGUGCGAGAGUAACUGUUCGUGCAGUGACGGUAUCUGGCCAGAAAGCCACGGCUAACUACGUGCCAGCCGCCGCCGUAA